CUGCAGUUGACCAGUGGCAACUGAAACCAUGGAUAAAGGGGGACUCCUUACUGCAUAACUAUGAGGAAUCCUCUGCUAAGGACCUUGUGAUCUUAAUAAGGAGACAAACCAUGAAAUGAGGAAGAUGGCAAAGAAGACAUGAACUGAGCAGAGUCAGGUGCAAUCAUUUAUGCUAUAAAGAGUAAGGAGUAUCAUCUGUUAAGAAAAUAGAAAAUAAAUAUUGACUUAUGUUAUCAGGGAGGAUGUUCUGAAAGCAGGGGAACUUGAAAAGUGUUUUGACAAAUAGUCCCAAAGUUGAGAUGGUGGUGUAGAUGGGGAGAGGAAUAUAAGGACAUGUGAGGAUUAGUGUGCUUGAAGACCUAGCUCAAGUGUCUCUUCUGCAGUGUAGCUUUUUCAAGUUGAGUUGGUUUCCACCUGCUCUGAACUUCCUCCAGCUUACAUCCAAGCUCCGAGACGGUUGCCAAAAGAAUUGUCUUUUGCCCUUUUUUCCGAGCCUUAUUUUGCUCUUCCUGUAUAUUGCCACCUUUUUCCAGGCUCACUGCUUGCAAGUAACUCUCCACUAUUAGAGGAUCCGCAAUACAGGAAGAGUAGCAGCAAGGCAUCAUUUUUGAGAUGAGUUCAUCUUAAACAAUAAUAUAUGGCAGGCACCAAACUAAUUAAGAGCCAUGGAUACAAUGAAAAUUAAGACACAAUUCUUAUCCAUUAGUAAUCUACUGUCUAAUGAGGGAAUAAACAAGCAUAUGAAUCUCCAAUUUCUAAUCCCAAUAUAAGCAAGGUCAUUCUAGGUAAGUACAAUACUUAGACACACAUACACACACAUAUGCAGACAAGCACAUAUGUACACACAUACACACAGAUGCUCACACAUAUGUGCACCUUUGCUGGUAAUUAUGUAUCAGCCAAUAAUUCAUUUGCAGAGGAGCUAACCAAAAAGAGAAAAU
rnacentral:lncRNA from 1 species